CGUAACAAGGUUUCCGUAGGUGAACCUGCGGAAGGAUCAUUAUUGAAACUUUGGAAAUAGUACUGUUGCUGGCCUUUACUGGGGUAUGUGCACGUACUAUUUCUAAUCUUAUUCAUCCACCUGUGCAUUUAUUGUAGGAGGUCUUUAAAGGGUUAACUUUGUACAAAGUUGACUUGGAAAGGGCUUUCUAUGUUCUUACAAACCUAUUGAAGUAUGUUUCAGAAUGUUUUUAUUGGGACUUUAUUGGCCCUUUAAAUCUAUACAACUUUUAGCAACGGAUCUCUUGGCUCUCCCAUCGAUGAAGAACGCAGCGAAAUGCGAUAAGUAAUGUGAAUUGCAGAAUUCAGUGAAUCAUCGAAUCUUUGAACGCACCUUGCGCCCUCUGGUAUUCCGGAGGGCAUGCCUGUUUGAGUGUCAUUAAAUUCUCAACUUCAAAAGCUUUUAUUAGUUUAUUGAAGUUUGGAUGUGGGAGCUUGCUGGCGUCUUAGAUGUUCGGCUCUCCUUAAAUUUAUUAGUGGAAAUCUCUUUGUUGGAGUAAUUCUUAGUGUGAUAAUUAUCUACGCUUGGGAUGGUCCAAUGUUUCCAUUGAGAUUGUUCAGUUUAAAUGCCUUUUUGGUGUUUUCUGGUUUUGUAGUAUUGCAACUAAGUUGCUUUACUUGAAUCUCAGAGGAAAGGGGAAGUUUUGCUCUCUAACUGUCUGUGUAUUACGGACAAUUUAUUGACUAUUUGACCUCAAAUCAGGUAGGAUUACCCGCUGAACUUAAGCAUAUCAAUAAGCGGAGGAAAAGAAACUAACAAGGAUUCCCCUAGUAACUGCGAGUGAAGAGGGAAAAGCUCAAAUUUAAAAUCUGGCAGUCCUUUGAUGGUCCAAGUUGUAUUUAAAAGAAUUGUAACCCUGGUUGAACCGGGUACAAGUUUCCUGGAAUGGAACGUCAUAAAAGGGUGAAGAAUCCCGUCUUUGACACGGAAUCCCAAUGGCAUUGGGGUUGCGCUCUCGAAAAGUCAAGUUGUUUGGGAAUGCAGUUCUAAAUGGGGUGGUAAAUUCCAUCUAAAGCUAA
rnacentral:rRNA from 1 species